GUUUUCGUGACUGCAAUUUCUGGUCGAUUUCUCAGCCAAACAUGAAGAACAAACAGAGCUAUUUCGCCUACAAAAAUAAUCUUUUGGGAAAAAAUGAACUUUGGCUAUCUACCUGGGAGUCUCGUGAGUGAAAACAUCCGAAGUUCAUCAAAGGUUCGCCCUGACCAAGCUGGCCUGUCACGUUGAGGACCUCAUGCUGGACCAGCUCUUAGCCAUGGCCAUCCGCCUGGAUAGUUUCCUGCGUGACCGUCAUCGCCCAUCCAGGAGGUUCGGGUCUCUCCCAGGAACCUCCAGCGAGACUGAGCCCAUGGAGGUUGGCAUGACGCACCUUCCCCUUGAGGAACAUCAAUGUCGCCGUCAACAGGGUCUCUACUCCUACUGCGGGGAGUCGACCACCCCUGAAACACCUGUCCCAGAAAGAGAACCAGCCGAGGAAGUGACAGGCCGAGGAGCACUCCUGCACCUUCCCAGAUCUGCCAUCCACUCUACCAAUGCCCAACAGCCUUACCCAGAAGUGCAUACACUGGGCCAUUUAAUAUUGACAGAGCAGAAAUGGGUGGCUGACAAGGAGAAAACAAACACAACAUGCACACACUCUCUCUCUGUCUCUGUCACACACUUUAUGCCUAAUGUAAAUCAAUUGUAAUACUUGUUUAUUUUAUGUAUAAUCCAUUUUAUUUUAGGAUAGUACAUAUCUACGCCUACAUAUCCAUUAUCAGUAUCUACACAAUUACACUAAAUAUCUAUCAAAUCCAAGUGUGAUUGAUAAUAUUGUAAAAGAGUAUUGCUUAAUGUGUACAGUUUGAGGAAAUUCUCACUCACUCACUCACUCACUCACUCACUCACUCACUCACUCACUCACUCACUCACUCACUCACUCACACACACACACAUACACAUUAGAUCCUAUGUAAAGACACUGUUUAUUUUAUGUAUGCUCCAUUUUAUUUGAGGAUUGUGUGCAGUAAUGUACAUUGACAGCUAUAGCAAUUUUUUGGUUUAUUAUUAUAUUAUUAUAAUUAUAUUUCUCUGAUUAAAAUGAAUGACCAAAAGGAAGUUGGGAAAUCUGCAAACCUCUGAGGGUGUGCAGGUUUUUCAGUGGUGGAAAAAGUACCCAAUUGUCAUACUUGAAUAAAAGUAAAGAUAACAGAAAAUGUCUCAAGGAAAAGUGAAAGUCACGCAGUAAAAUACUACUUGAAGAAAAG
ensembl:lncRNA